rnacentral:rRNA from 1 species
AACGAACGCUGGCGGCAUGCCUAACACAUGCAAGUCGAACGAGACCUUCGGGACUAGUGGCGCCUGGGUGUGUAACGCGUGGGAAGAUGCACAUAGGUUCGGAAUAACUCUCAGAAAGGGGUGAUAAUACCGGACAAUGUCUUCGGCCCAAAGAUUUAUUGCCUUUGGAUGGGCCAGAGUUGGAUUAGCUAGUUGGUAGGGUAAAAGCCUACCACGGCCUCGAUUCAUAGCUGGUCUGAGAGGAUGAUCAGCCACACUGGGACGGAGACACGGCCCAGACUCCUACGGGAGGCAGCAGUGGGGAAUAUUGGACAAUGGGCGAAAUCCUGAUCCAGCAAUGCCGCGUGAGUGAUGAAGGCCUUAGGGUUGUAAAGCUCUUUUACCCGGGAUGAUAAUGACAGUACCGGGAGAAUAAGCUCCGGCUAACUCCGUG